GGGCUAUAGCUCAGCUGGGAGAGCGCCUGCUUUGCACGCAGGAGGUCUGCGGUUCGAUCCCGCAUAGCUCC
rnacentral:tRNA from 1 species